rnacentral:rRNA from 1 species
CGGAGGAAAAGAAACUAACAAGGAUUCCCCUAGUAGCGGCGAGCGAAGCGGGAAGAGCUCAAAUUUAUAAUCUGGCACCUUCGGUGUCCGAGUUGUAAUCUCUAGAAAUGUUUUCCGCGUUGGACCGCACACAAGUCUGUUGGAAUACAGCGGCAUAGUGGUGAGACCCCCGUAUAUGGUGCGGACGCCCAGCGCUUUGUGAUACAUUUUCGAAGAGUCGAGUUGUUUGGGAAUGCAGCUCAAAUUGGGUGGUAAAUUCCAUCUAAAGCUAAAUAUUGGCGAGAGACCGAUAGCGAACAAGUACCGUGAGGGAAAGAUGAAAAGCACUUUGGAAAGAGAGUUAACAGUACGUGAAAUUGUUGGAAGGGAAACGCUUGAAGUCAGACUUGCUUGCCGAGCAAUCGGUUUGCAGGCCAGCAUCAGUUUUCCGGGAUGGAUAAUGGUAGAGAGAAGGUAGCAGUUUCGGCUGUGUUAUAGCUCUCUGCUGGAUACAUCUUGGGGGACUGAGGAACGCAGUGUGCCUUUGGCGGGGGUUUCGACCUCUUCACACUUAGGAUGCUGGUGGAAUGGCUUUAAACGACCCGUCUUGA